rnacentral:tRNA from 1 species
UCACUGGUGAUUCAGUGGUAGAAUUCUCACCUUCCAUGCUGUAGACCCAGGUUCGAUUCCUGGCCAGUGCG